AUUGAACGCUGGCGGCAUGCCUUACACAUGCAAGUCGAACGGUAACAGGGGCUUCGGCCCGCUGACGAGUGGCGGACGGGUGAGUAAUGCAUCGGAAUGUACCCAGUAGUGGGGGAUAGC
rnacentral:rRNA from 1 species